GAUGAACGCUAGCUACAGGCUUAACACAUGCAAGUCGCGGGGCAGCAUGGGGGUGGCUUGCCACCCCUGAUGGCGACCGGCGCACGGGUGAGUAACGCGUAUCCAACCUGCCCCUUACCACGGGAUAGCCCUCCGAAAGGGGGAUUAAUACCGUAUGUGGCCACGAGACGGCAUCUGACCGUGGCUAAAGGCUUUGCGGUAAGGGAUGGGGAUGCGUCUGAUUAGCCAGCCGGCGGGGUAACGGCCCACCGGGGCGACGAUCAGUAGGGGUUCUGAGAGGAAGGUCCCCCACAUUGGAACUGAGACACGGUCCAAACUCC
rnacentral:rRNA from 1 species